rnacentral:rRNA from 1 species
CAAUAGCGUAUAUUUAAGUUGCUGCAGUUAAAAAGCUCGUAGUUGGAUUUCGGGUGGGAAUGGCCGGUCCGCCGUUUCGGUGUGCACUUGCUACGCCCACCUUGCUGCCGGGGACGUGCUCUUGAGUUCACGCUCGGGACACGGAGUCGGCGAGGUUACUUUGAGUAAAUUAGAGUGUUCAAAGCAGGCCUACGCUCUGAAUACAUUAGCAUGGAAUAACACGAUAGGACUCUGGCCUAUCUUGUUGGUCUGUAGGACCGGAGUAAUGAUUAAGAGGGACAGUCGGGGGCAUUCGUAUUUCAUUGUCGGAGGUGAAAUUCUUGGAUUUAUGAAAGGCGAACUACUGCGAAAGCAUUUGCCGAGGAUGUUUUCAUUAA